UCCAGAGCCACUCAGCCCUGAGAGGCCUCGUCCUCCCCCAACCCCCUGCGUUUGGGCCUCCCUGCCACGUAUGGACAUCCAGCUAGCUCGAACCUCUCCAGUACAUGGGCUGCACACACCAGCUUUCCACUUGCAGGGCCUGGGUUGGGCCUGGUCUAUAUCAGGACUGCCUCUUCAGAUCUUCAGGACUUUGCCAUUACAAGCUAAGUGGUCCUGAGCAAGUUACUGAACCUCCUGUAAGCCUUGGGUUCCUUCUCUACAAAAUGAAUAUACAGAGAAUACCAGCCUUGUAAUGUCAUUGAAAGAAAUAAAAGUGCGUCCUUCUCCCUUCGUGAGAGUGUAGGUUUGUGGAUCCUCCACCAAUAUUAAGAUACUGACCAGUUCUAACAACAAAAAGGUGUAGCCUGGUGUGGAUGCGGAGAGAAAGGAACACUUCUACACUGCUGGUGGGAAUGCAAGCUAAUACGACCUUUUUGGAAAGAAGUUUGGAGAAUACUCAAGGAACUAAAAGUGGGCCUACCAUUCAAUCCUGCAAUUCCUCUACUAGGUAUGUACCCAGAUGAUCAAAAAUUAUUUUACAACAAAGACAUUUGCACCACAAUGUUUACUGCAGCCCAAUUCAAAAUUGCUAAGACAUGGAAACAGCCCAAGUGCCCACUGAUCCACGAAUGGAUUAACAAAUUGUGGUAUAUAUACACCAUGGAAUACCACGCAGCCAUAAAAAAAUGGAGACUUCACAUCUUUUAUGUUUACCUGGAUAGAGCUGGAACAUAUUCUUCUUAGUAAAGUAUCUCAAAAUGGAAAAAUAAAGUAUCCGAUGUACUCAAUACUACUAUGAAAUCAAUAUAUAAUCACCUAUUCAUUCAUAUGAGUGGUAAAAUAUAACUAUAGUCCAGAAAGUAGAAGGGAAGAAGAAAGGGGGGGGGGGAAGGGGAAAGGCGGGAGGAGGAAAGGUAUUUGAGGGGACCUCACCUAAUGUGCAUGAUGCAAUGGUACAUUUCAAAACUAUUAAGAAAAGAGUAUAAUUAUGAUGGAUGUCUUAAUCAGCUCAAUGUAAGCAUUUCACAUUGUAUAUCAAAUCAGUACACCGAACCCCAUAAAUGCAUCAAUGUACACAGUUAUGAUUUAAUAAAAAAAUGCACAAUAUAUCAUUCUAAAGUUUAUUUUUAGGGGUGGCACCCGUUGCUCAGUGAGUAGGGCACCGCCACAUACAAGACAGUGGGUUCGAACCUGGCCUGGGCCAGCUAAAACAACAAUGACAACUGCAACAAAAAAAUAGCCGGGCGUUGUGGCAGGCAUUUGUAGUCCCAGCUACUUGGGAGGCUGAGGCAAGAGAAUUGCUUAAGUCCAAGAGUUUGAGGUUGCUGUUGAGCUGUGACACCAUGGCACUCUACCAAGGGCAACAUAGUGAGACUCUGUCUCAAAAUAAAAAAAUAAUGCUCAGCACCCGUAGCUCAGUGAGUAGGGCGCUGGCCGCAUACACUGUGGCUGGCAGGUUCGAAACCAGCCUGGGCUUGCCAAACAACGACAACUGCAACCAAAAAAUAUCCAGAAG